rnacentral:rRNA from 1 species
GAUGAACGCUGGCGGCGUGCCUAAUACAUGCAAGUCGAGCGCACGGACGAGAAGCUUGUUUCUAUGAUGUUAGCGGCGGACGGGUGAGUAACGCGUGGAUAACCUACCUAUAAGACUGGGAUAACUUCGGGAAACGAGUGCUAAUACCGCAUGAUAUUUUUAAACACAAGGUUUAAGAGUGAAAGACGCUCUUGCUGUCCCCUAUAGAUGUAUCCCCGUUUAAUUAGCAAGUUGGUAGGGAAACGCUUUACCAAGGCAACGAUGAAUAGCGGACUGAGAAGGGUGACCGGCAAAACUGGAACGGAGAAACGGUCAAAACUCCUACGGGGGGAAGCAUAAGGGAAUCUUGGGCAAUGGGCGAAGGCUUGACGGGGCAACGCGGCGUGAGUGAUGAAGGUCUUCGGAUCGUAAAACUCUGUUGUUAGGGAAGAAGAUAGGUGGAAGGAACAGUGCAUAAAUUGACGGUACCUAAUCAGAAAGCCACGGCUAACUACGUG